rnacentral:rRNA from 1 species
UUGAUCCUGGCUCAGGAUGAACGCUGGCGGCGUGCUUAACACAUGCAAGUCGAACGAACCUUCGGGUUAGUGGCGGACGGGUGAGUAACGCGUGGGAAUCUGCCCUCAGGAGGGGGAUAACGGCCGGAAACGGCCGCUAAUACCCCAUAUGCCGAGAGGUGAAAUGAAUUUCGCCUGAGGAUGAGCCCGCGUCUGAUUAGCUAGUUGGUGUGGUAAUGGCGCACCAAGGCGACGAUCAGUAGCUGGUCUGAGAGGAUGAUCAGCCACACUGGGACUGAGACACGGCCCAGACUCCUACGGGAGGCAGCAGUGGGGAAUUUUCCGCAAUGGGCGAAAGCCUGACGGAGCAACGCCGCGUGAGGGAUGAAGGCCUCUGGGCUGUAAACCUCUUUUCUCAAGGAAGAAGACAUGACGGUACUUGAGGAAUAAGCCACGGCUAAUUCCGUGCCAGCAGCCGCGGUAAUACGGGAGUGGCAAGCGUUAUCCGGAAUUAUUGGGCGUAAAGCGUCCGCAGGCGGCCUUGUAAGUCUGUCGUUAAAGCGUGGAGCUUAACUCCAUUUCAGCGAUGGAAACUACAAGGCUUGAGUGUGGUAGGGGCAGAGGGAAUUCCCGGUGUAGCGGUGAAAUGCGUAGAUAUCGGGAAGAACACCAGUGGCGAAGGCGCUCUGCUGGGCCAUAACUGACGCUCAUGGACGAAAGCCAGGGGAGCGAAAGGGAUUAGAUACCCCUGUAGUCCUGGCCGUAAACGAUGAACACUAGGUGUCGGGGGAAUCGACCCCCUCGGUGUCGUAGCUAACGCGUUAAGUGUUCCGCCUGGGGAGUACGCACGCAAGUGUGAAACUCAAAGGAAUUGACGGGGGCCCGCACAAGCGGUGGAGUAUGUGGUUUAAUUCGAUGCAACGCGAAGAACCUUACCAGGGUUUGACAUCCUGCGAAUCCCUUGGAAACGAGGGAGUGCCUUCGGGAGCGCAGAGACAGGUGGUGCAUGGCUGUCGUCAGCUCGUGUCGUGAGAUGUUGGGUUAAGUCCCGCAACGAGCGCAACCCACGUCUUUAGUUGCCAGCAUUCAGUUGGGCACUCUAGAGAGACCGCCGGUGAUAAACCGGAGGAAGGUGUGGAUGACGUCAAGUCAUCAUGCCCCUUACAUCCUGGGCUACACACGUACUACAAUGCUACGGACAAAGGGUUGCAAGCUCGCGAGAGUUAGCUAAUCCCAUAAACCGUGGCUCAGUUCAGAUCGUAGGCUGCAACUCGCCUACGUGAAGGAGGAAUCGCUAGUAAUCGCAGGUCAGCAUACUGCGGUGAAUACGUUCCCGGGCCUUGUACACACCGCCCGUCACACCAUGGAAGUUGGCCAUGCCCGAAGUCGUUACUCCAACCCUUGUGGAGGAGGACGCCGAAGGUGGGGCUGAUGACUGGGGUGAAGUCGUAACAAGGUAGCCGUACCGGAAGGUGCGGCUGGAUCACCUCCU